UGAACAACUUUAUUCCAUUCAUUGGGUAUC
rnacentral:piRNA from 1 species